rnacentral:lncRNA from 1 species
CAUGGCAUAAAAUAAUACCAAUCAGUGUUCCCCAUUUUUGGAAAGGCAUGGAGUAGGGUGGCAGUAGAAAAGUGAAGUUUAGAGUUUGUGAUUCCAUCUGAUGUUGCAGGAGGGAUUAUCCAAGAGGAAGUAAAUCUAUGACCAAUUUAGAGAUCUGGCCACAGCGACCUUGAACUUUUCUUCCACUUUGUAUCUGAAAAUCUAUAAGCUGAGACCAGAAAGAUGCAGGCGGCAUCUCCCACCCCUUUAGCUGAUCUUUAUCCACUCUAUUCCUUCUCUAUAGUUACAACUCCACAGGGAUCCCAGUCUUUUACUUUUCCCUUAGCACCAUUCACUAAGGAGAGAUUUGGAGUCUUUCAAGGUAGAAUUCUGAGGGGAACAAUAAUGGCACUGCAUAUUUUCAUUAAGAGGACUCCUCGCCUCAGAAUACCAGAAGUUAUGCUAUAACCAGGACAUAAUCUGAGAGUAAUGCCAUUGUGAAGUCCAUAAAUAUGACAUCUAGGGUAAUGAGGACCUUCUAUGAAGUCACGUAAAAUCAAGGUUGGGCCAGGGCUUAAGCUUCCUGAAAGCCUGGGAGUCCUAGAUUACCGUGACUCAUUCAAAGGUCUUGGGGAAGUGUCAGUGAUGACUGCUGCCAAAAACUGGGUUGGAUUUGUAUGAAGCUUCGGGACAGGGUAAUCCAGCUGAUCCAGUGCGAUGACUUUGACAUGUAAUAGACCAAGGAAUUCAUUUGUGUCAGGGUAUGGAGCCUUCAGCUUGGACUGCCAGAUGUAGAAGAUCCAAUGGAGAAUUCUGAGGCCCAAGGUGAUUUUAGAACUACUACACGGAAGGAGCCUGCCCAGACAUCUGCACUGUACUGUGAUCUGGUGCAGAUUGAGAAUUCUAGCAGUUUGGGAGAAGUUAAAGCCUCUCAACAGGGAACACUGCAUUUAAAGGAUCCUGUAAACUGCAGCACCAGGAAAACCAUAGUCCAAGUCUUCAUUCUUCAGCUUGCAGUCACGUCACCACCAUAUGCUGUACACUAGAGUAUUUAUGGCUUGAAUCACACAUGGAGCCAGUCUUAUCUCAGGCAACCAUGCUGUCUGCAUCAGUAUAAGAUAAAACUGUGCUAAUGACAGGAGGGCAUGUUUAAAUGUACGUUUCCAUGUAUGGGAUAAAAUACUUCGUCAAAUGAAGCUUGGUCAAAUGAAGCUUCAUGCUACUUCUCUGUGAAUGUGGUAUUUAUUUUAUGGGGCAGCAAAGGCAGGGAUUAGCUUCAUUUUUGCAUCUGAUUCUAGGCAGAUAGUGAUGCUAAAAGGUUAAUGCUUAAGUUACUGUCUUUCAGUUACUAUCUAACAGCAGGACAAUGCUCUUAGAGUUUAUGGAAUUAUUAGCUACUUUUUAGUCUGCUUGAAACUGGAAUGCCAUACCUUGCCAGUUAUUUUAGCUCCACUCUGCUCCUACUAAGUAAGGUCAUUUUUGGUACAGUGAUUUGUUAGACAAGACAAGUAAGAUUCAAAUACAAGAUUUGUCACUGUGGGUUUCACUUCUGUCCAUCUGAUGACCAGGCUGCUCUGGCUCUGUGCUUAUAUAUUGGGAAGAAUUUGCUAGGCUCUUGAAGUUAUCCUUAAUGCCAUCUUUCUCUCUGAAGACAAUGGUUUCAUUUUUUAACAAUAUCCUGUGGGGGAAGCCUGACCCAGAGAACUGUUUAAGAUACCCAUAUUCUCCAUCCUGAGGCAGGAAAAGAAUUCUGAAAAGGCUGUAGGGAUUGGAACUCUCAGACUGUGGGACAGAAAAAUUAGCACAGUAACUUCCUUCUCCACUUUUGUGGGUUAACCCAAAACUGUUAUCUGAACUACAAAUUCCUUAAGAUUAGGGAUUGUAUCUUUUUUGUUUUUGUAUCUCUAGUACCCAGUUUAAUGCCUCAGUAAGUGAUGAAUAAACAAAUGAAUGCAUACAUGCACAAACAAAUUAUGUGUCCUCUUUUUGGUCCUCCAUUUCAGCCUUCUGAAGGCUGAGAGAGAAGCUGAUGUUAUAGAGUUCUUAAAGGUUUUCAAACUAAUGGGAGAAAAACUGGGAUAUAAUUUGAAGAGAGAUUUGGGGGAAGUAGCUCCAAGGAAGGUUAGUGUUGGUUUGAAAGUCAUAGCACCAGGAAUGUUAUUAUUGUCACUAAAACAAUUUUAAAAAAUGGAAAGAGUAAUUGCCCUCAGUGAUUUUUUAGA